rnacentral:lncRNA from 1 species
UGCAGAACGCCUUAAUCAGAAUCUGCAAUUUAACAAGAUCCCCCAGAAAUCUGGGCGCAUGGUAAAGUUUGAGAAGCAGUCCUAGAGAGUAAGAUAACUGGAGGGCCAGACAAGGAGGCGUGGAGGCAGGAGGCAGCCUUAGGUACAUACAGUGGGCUCACUUGGAGAGUUUCUCUUAAAAGUGGCAAUCAUCGUGAGUCACUGAGUCUGAGAGGAGGCAGGACCAGUAAUAAAGCUAACUCAUCUGGUGCUUUCUAUGGGCUAGACUGAUUUCCCAGUCUUUUCUGUGCAUUAACUAAUUUGGUCUUCAGGACAGCCCUAUAUGGUGGUACUAUUGGGCUCACCAUUCCUGUCCUGCAGACAGAGAAACCAAGGCCCAGUGAGGUUGAGGUUAUUCCAGAAUGUUCAGCAAGUAUACAGGCAUUUGGCUGUACCUGGCGUUUAGGGCAGGGUCUGUUCGGAUUGGUCGCUGCCUGUCCUACUGGUUAUUCAAUGUUUUGAAUGUCGCCCUGGUUACACGCUGGAUGAAGGCGGCAGGAUCCAAGCCAGCGCACCGUGCUGGAGCCACGCUCUAAAACACGAUCCUCUAUCCAUCGAGCGCCGUCACCACCCAGAAACAGCACACCUCAGGGACCAGUAAUGUGUGUCAAAGUGAUUUGCAAGCUAUAAAGCGCAGUGUAAACGCCAAGUGCGCGGAUUCCUCCGGGGCAGAAAUGAAAGAAGCUGGUUAAAGCUGGGCCGUGAGAGAGCAGAGGAGAAGCUGCUGUGGGGGAGCAGCAUUCUCCCUGCUUGCUCGAGGGGGAAACUGAGUCAGAAGGAAAGGCCGCCCUGAGUAGAGCUCCACGAUCGGCCCCUGGAGACUCGAACUUGCCAGACGCCAGCAGGAGCUAACCAGGUUAACCGGGGCGGGUCUUCACGGAGGAGCGAGCCUCCUGAUACAGACCACCAGGGGGCGCUGCUCCCUAGCCUUCGUCCCACUGGACCUCCCACCUGCUCACAGCGAAACCAGCACUUGGAAGGACUCCUAACGCGCAAGCACCGGGGACUUCGAGAAGAGGAAAAGGAGGGGCGGCAGGAUGGAAGGGGGGAUUUAUACCCACUUUCAAUCCCCAAAACACCCCUGUGGAGGAGCUCUUGUUCCCAUUUUACAGAUGAGGAAUUUGAGGCCCAAAGAUGAUGGAUAAGAUCCCCAAACCAGGAAGCUAGGGAGAAGCAGGGCUGGGUAAUUUGAUUCCAAACUCAGUUCCCAAGGGGACCAGGAGUAAAUGCCAGCUCAUUGGACCCUGUCGUGUCGCUGGCGCCCCUGCUUCUCUUGAAUCUUUAUUCUGAUUGGUGACCAGUCCCUCUAUCACAACUGUAUUUCCACAACAAUUCCAACAGCCAGGCCUCACAAAAAGGCCUCUUCUCGAACUUGAAGCUUCUUGAAGUCGUGGGCUCCUGCUUAGGAAGCCAGACCUGCCACCCCAACCCAGCAGCUCCCCCUUAGGGCAGAGCCUGGGGUCCCCUCUGCUCCCAGAGGCUGGCUCUGGGUCCGCGGAGUCAUGUCCUACUCUACAUCCCUUCUUCACCCCAGGGACACCACGGCUUCAGGCUUUGCCUCCUGACCCCCCACGGGCAGGCAGCAGCACAAAUAAACAAGGGGACAUUUGAACCAGGAAGAGCCUGUGGUUGGGGCUAAACCAGGGACCAAGUCUUGUUCUCAGCUCCCACCAACUCCUUUUAUGGGAUCUGGGUACAGUUCCUUCUUCAUAAUAAGUCAGAACUGGAAAAGGCGUAAGGAGUCACUGGGUCCAACUUGCGCCAACACUUUCCUUUUCCACAGAAAAAAAAAAAUUCCGUGGUGACGCCUCCCCGUCUCCAGGCAGUUCAUAAGACCAGGACAGGGCGGGCAGCGUCCUGCAUGGGAGGGAAACUCCAGCCCUGGGGCGGGACCUGGCACGUUAGGUCCCAGGAGGCCCAGUCUCCGCACCUGUAAAAUGGGGAGGGGGGCACCCUAACCGCAGCUUCUUCUAAGGCCCCCGCCCCUAGCUUCUGUAUCUAGCCCUGGGAGCUAUGGGCAGCUCGCGUGACUGGGUGCACGUGCACGUAAGUGAUCAUGUGUGUGCAGGAGCGUGUGCGCCGCCGCACACGCGUCCGCGCCAUUGCCUGCGUCUGUGCGCGCCCCCUACGGGCUGGUCACCACCGGCUGCUGUAGCUGCCAAGUGGCCGUGUGCAGCGCCGCGUGUGUCUGGCGUGUACCAGCCGGGGCCACCCUCCCCCUCGCAGCCGAGAGCAUGGGAUGUGCACGGCGGGCAGGCUGGCGCGCAGCAUCGGAGCAAGGGGGUUACCGGUUCUCGGUCCCCAGGCCUCCCCGCCCCGCCCGGCAUUUUCUGUUUUCCUGGGCCUCCCCCUUCGCCGGCGAGGAGCGCUCCGGGGCUAGGGACGGAGCAGCCCCGCCCAGGCCGGCCGGUGAGGGUGGCAUGGCUGCCGGGCGCGCGCCGCCCCUCCCCUGCCGCCCCCGCCGCGGCGCCCCAACGGGUUUUUCCAUGACUGCAUCCGGCCGCGGGCCGCCUUUGUUCCCGCCGUCCCCGGCAGUGCUUGCGAGCUGGCCCGCCUCUCCCCUGCGCGCCGGGGUUUUUCCAGGGCUCAACUGGAGCUUGACGGAUCCGCCUCCCCGCCCCCGGCCUCCUGCGUCUGGGCCCGGGUGGCGCCUCCCGCAGGACUCCGAGAUCCCCUUUGGCGAGCCGGGCCCUCUCCAGUCGCACCGCUCCGUCCCUCCUGCCCCCGCUGCCAAGGCCUACGGCCCCUAAUUCCCACAUAUGUGCGCAAAGUUGACCGACACCCGGUCGGUGCGCCUCCGCGCUUCGUGGGGCGCUUUUGGCGCCCUGAUUCCCUCCCGGGGCUUCACGUUAGGGGCCGGGUGCUGGGCCGCCUCCGCUUCCAGGGUGUGGAAGUGCCUCACGUUUCUCUCAAAGGGCAGGUGGCGCAGUCCAGGCAGUGUGAAGCCUGGUCCCCACCGCAGAGGGGAAGCCAGGCGCGCGCGCACCGCCCGCCACAGCCUGGAGAUCACCGUGUGUCCUCCGCGCGCAGGCAGUUCCCGGGCAGAAACGCUCCCGUCCCCAUGCGAAAGUGGGCGCACUUGCGGACAGUCAGCGCCAGAGCGCGGGGGGCUCCUCUGUCCUCGUGGAACCCCCUUCCCGCUGUCAGGAAGGAAGGGGAGAUAGGCAGGCAGAAAAGGGCAGUGGGGAGAUGCAGGGUCGUGGCGGGAUGGGGGGUGGGGCGCGGAAUAUUCGAGGGAGUGAUGGCAGGCCCGGAGCCCCAGGUCACUCCCCGGGCAGGCACAGGAUUCCCUGUGUGCCUCUCGGGGACUGUGUGUCCGCCGCUGGGUUCAGUUUGCGUGUGUCUCUGCGCACCAGCGGAGCCUCCCAGCUAUUACCCGGCCAUGUUGGCGGGAAAAGUGUCGGAAGCGCUGGUUUGCUCCGUGAGGCUUGCUGAGUCCUACCAGAGAAGCCAGACUCGCAGGGGGGCCCCCAGGCUGGGUUACAAGGGUGAAGGGGGCGUCUGGGCAGAGGAAGGGGUCGUGGAUUAAGAGGGUGUCUGGCUCUGAGGGGUUUUUGGAAUCUCGGGCGGGUCCCCUCCCCACAGCUGGUCACGAGGUGGCCUCAGAGGGCUAACGGUCAGGAGGUGAGGGUGGGAGGAGGGUGCAGGGUAAGGGACGCCCAGAUCCACGGAGGCCCAGAGCUGUCCGGCUGGGGAGGAGGAAGGGACCGUCCCUAGAGCUCUUUGAGUGCCAGCUCCUCUCCCCUCUCCGUGGUGCAUUAUCUUGUUCCCUAAGCCCAACUGUUCUGAAAGGGCCCUUCCUGCAGGCGAGUCUUUGUCGGCUGUGCCCGCUUUGUCCCUGUGUCGCGGCCCCCUCGUCUCUCAACCCUCCUCUCUGGUCUCAGAGGCUGAACACCUCCCAUCACCACCACCACCACCUCCACAGCCAUCCCAGUAGAGGAAACCUUGUUCCCUGUGUUCAGCGUGCUCACAGGCUAACUCCGAUGCCCUUUGCCCUUUUGGAGUUGGUGGAAGGUUCCAGAAGCUGAGAUAGAACCUCUGGCCCCUCAACAGCCCCUCACAUAAGGGGAACUUUCGCUGACAUACCGACUGUCCUCCAACACCAGUCCCCACCACACCAUGGCAACAGACCCUUAGUGUGUACAGCGACUCACCCAGUACCACCACUGAAUAUUGACUGGCAGGUCAGACAAGCAGGGUCCACAGACCCACCUAAAAAGAUCAGGGUGAGGUGGCUGUAAGCAGGACGAAAUCUAGUUCCCAAAGUGAUAGCAUUCUGGCUUCUCCUUUCUGCUCCCCACACCCUGCACAGACCUGCAAGUCACAUUUAAGCUCUUAGUCCAGACAAGCAGUUCAAAUGGUAAAGCGCACGGUUUCUACCUGUCCACCUUGGCCAGGGUCGGCCGUGGGGACAGCAGGUUAGAAGGAGAACCCACUGGCACUAGCUUCCUGUUUGCUGUUCCUCUGUCCUCAGUUGUCUUGUCCACCAUUUACCCUUCUAUCUCCAUGUUCUUGCUCAGGCUGAGAGCCUUAAGCCCAGUCUUGACCAUUCUCCCUCAGUUUUCUCUUCUGUAAAAUGGGGCUAAUAAUGCUGCCUACCUCCCAGGGUGGUUAGAUGGGUUAAAUGAAUUUAUAUGAAUUUAAUAUAUGUCAAGAGCCUGGCACAUGGCAAAUACUAACCAAGCAUUUGCUAUCAUUAUUAGAAGUUAAGCAGCUUGUCUGAGAUCACACAGUAAGUGGCUAAGCUUGAUGCCAACCCAGGCUGCCUGGCUCCAGAGCCCAGGUUCUCAGACUGUGCUAGUGAAAUGCUGCACUGGCAGAAUCGGGAAACUAUUAAUGUGCAUAGCUCAUCUGUAACGUGGGAGGAAACAAUAGGGGCUGGGAGUCAGGAGACAUUUUGCUAGAGAAGGGCCACAUGUGUAAUGGUCUUGUCUGAUGUAGGUCCCACUUCGUGGCUGUUAGGAUUGUUUUAUGGGUUUUUUUUUUUAAUUACAUGUGUCAAACCAGAAAUUUAUGACAAUCAGAGAUUCACCUUGAUGAUAGAAAGCCCCAGGUCCUUCCAGCAGUACUGUGAAUCCUCUGACAUUUCUUCGUUUCAUAUUUAUCAGCUGGUCAGUGCCCAGCAUUGUGGUGGAUGCUGUGGGGGCGGGGGGGGCGUUCUGAGCAGGAAGAGAGCUCACUUCCCUGUCUUCUUGGGGAGAUAAUAUGUGUGUCUACAUAACAGUGAUGCCCUUAAUUGCCAAACAGAGUAGUUCAGUUAACUAAUGGUUAAUAUCUGAUGAGGACCUGGGGCUGACAGACUCGGAGGUGGCCCCAUGAUCCUUCGGCUGGUCUUCACGCCCUGUGUAAACCCCUCCCUGAGCGUGGGUGGGACUUGUUCUAACCAAUAGAAUAGGCACAGGUGACAGAUGUAUGCGACUGUGUGGCCAUGAUUACCCCUACACGAGACUGCAAAGGCAGUCUUGCAAGGACACCUCCUCCCUUGCACCUUUGAAGCAGCAAGCUGUCAUGUUGUGGGCUGCCUGUUAAAAGGGUAAGAUACUAAGGGUCAGCUGACACCAAGUAAGAAACUGAGGCCUCUGCCUGGCAUCUGCAAGGGACUGAAUUCUGCCAACAACCACACAGCUUGCAAGCAGCUCUUUCCCCAGUCAAGCCUCAGAUGAGACCCCAGCCCUGGCUGACAUCUUGAUUGAAGGCUUGCAGAAGACCCAGUCAAGCCUUGCCCACACUUCUGUGAGCUAAUAAAUGAGUAUUAUUUGAAGCUUCUACAUUCGCUGGUAUAUUUUUAUGCAGCAACAGAGAACUAAAACAGGAUCUAUUGGGUGGAAAGUCCUGCGUGGGACUGUUAGGGGAUACAAAAAAUUAUAAGGAACCCAGUACUUCAGGAGCUUCCUGGCAGUCAAAGUGAGAAAGGAAACACAGCAUGGCUUCACCACUUGACAAAAGGAAAUUAAUGUUUCUAAAGAGGCAGUUUGGCUCGUGAUUCUAAGAAGAAUUUGUCACGUGAACAGUAGAAUCUAUGAACAGAGUUAGCAUCUGUGGGGCCUGGACCUGCCUGCAGUUCAAGGUCCCUCCUCAUCCUGCCUUUCUUCCUGCUUGACCUCUUGCCACAUCACACCCUCCCAUUCGCUCCUCCUGGACUGCUCUUCUCCCUUCUCUGCCCGUUGACUCCUACAAUUUCAUGGACCAGCUUGGACCUGUGGCCUCUUCGGUGAAGGUUUCUUUAAUACCCUAGCAGAAUUAACCAUUUCCUCCCCAUCUCCCAACUCUUUGUUAUCAAAGGGAGCGUGUUGUAUUAUUUAUUUCUAAUUUUUUAUUGAGCACCUACUAGGUGUGGGCCUCCUGUUAGGUGUAAGAGAUACAGUUACAAAUACAACACAGGGCUUCCUUGGGACCUACAGCCUGGUGGUGGUGCCACAGUCUUGCACCCAUGCUCUCCUCCACGUGGGACCAGCGUUCUCUGCGUCCUUGGAGCUCAGCACAGCACACAGGAGCCACGAGUCUCAGUGUUGACAAAGUGAAAGACUGAGGAUGGGCAGGCCCCCCUCUGAUUAUCUCACGAUGGGCUGCUGGCCUCUCCACAGGCUCUUGGGGAUGAGAUAGCUGUAAAAUAUGCCCCCAGGUAGCUGAGUCUAUUGGAUGUGAUGAUUUAGUGAUGUCCACAGGAACUUAACAUUCAUCAUGUUGACAGCAAAUGUCAGUAGAAACUGACUUAGUUUACCUGAAACUGAUAUGGGCUUUUUGGGGAGGACUGGAAUUCAUCAAUAGGUUCGGCAGCAUUUUAAGGUCGAUCAGGUGUCAACAGUACAGAAGGAGAUAGGGAACAUCCUGUGCCAGUGAUAGGAGAAUUAUGCAUCUCAUUUAUCUAAAAAUGAAAGGACUUCAGCAGCAAGUUAAAAAGAAAGGCAGCCAAGAUGUGGUCCUAUUAGUCCUUGUUGCUUGGCACCACCCCUAGGUGUUCCUAAGAGGAAAUAUUCAAUUCCCUUGUAACUAGUGGCAGCUCCACUUGACGAGAUGGCAGAGUGCUGCCCGCCUAUCAGGUGGUGUUAGGAAGUGUCUGAGGGCCCUGGCGGGCACAGACUGUGGCGCUUGGCUGUUGCCAUGGGGAGCAGCCCGCUCCAUCCUCCCACUGCCCCCCCAACUUCCUGGCCGUCCCUGGCCAACACAUGGCCUGCUGUGUUCAGUUUCCUGGAGAGCCUCCUGCCCAAGCGUCCCUCAAGGGAGAGAUGGAAUGCUGCCCAGGUUCCCCAGCAGUGGGGUCCUGCCAGCCUUUCUCAGGGCUGCCCUCCAGAUCCUGCCUCUUGCCGCAUCUUGGAUGGAUUUUCCUGGCUGGGGCCCAUCUCUGCACCUGGGACCUCCAUUAUCUCUGCCCAGCAUUUCCAAACCACUCCAAAUUUCUCCAGUGGCAGUCCCCACCCUGCUCCCACAGACACUGACCGGGGCCUCUAGGAGUCCUUUCGGGAGCGUGACGAGGUUCCUUCCUGGAAUCCAUCUGGAGUUCUGCUUCAUUCCUCGGUAGUUGUUUACUGCGGACUACGGCCUCCCUGGGGAGUCGUGGGGCGGCUUUUCCCCAGUGCCGAGGAACCUGUUUCUGCUUGUGUCCUCACUGCCCCAGUCUGCCCCCCUUCCCUCCUGGGCAGAACUGAUGUCCCCCUUUAAUUUAAGCUCCAGGUCUCCACCUCCCCCGCCCUCCCCAGGGCUGCUCCAUUUUUGGUAUUCUACCUUCAUACCCAUUUUUCUGUUUGAUUCUUCGGAUUUGGUGACCCGAAUUUUGGCCUGACAUCUUGGCUGGAGGCCUGGCGUUACUUUGGCUCCCCUCUCCCACUUGGCAGGAAGUUCUAGAAGGACUGCCUGCUGCUGCCCUCAGUGUGUCCUCGGGGCCCCACCUCUGCCCAGCCUCCAGCUCCCGUCCCAGGAUGUUGCCCCACUGGGGCUUCAGGACACCUCUCCAGGCUCUGAUCUCCUCCUCGUCAGGCAGGUGGGCCAGUCAGGCAGGUGGGCCGCAGGCAGUUUCCAGCUAACAGUUGGCGUGGGAUUAACAAAGGCUGCUGAAGUCUUUGUUCCUAAAAAAGAAAGAAAGUUCUCUUUUUAAAAAACAGUUACAAACGUGAUUUUAAAAAAUUCAAAAAGCAAAAAAAAACUUCUCUCCAAUCCCCUUGCUCUCCAGUUUCACUCUGCAUGGGUAAUUAUUUUUGGUGUUUCUUGUUUCUUCCAGACGUUUUCUAAGCACUCGCCCCACCCCACCCUGGUUGGUAGCGUUUGCCAAUUUUUGUGGUGUAAAUACUCCUAGUGUGGCUGAUUUCACGCUGCUGACUUGAUGUCAGUGAAUGCGGAGUCGAGAAGAAAUGCACACAAGGAGCUUGUGAUGAGAGCCCGCUCCAGCUCACCACGGUACAAUUACGUGUCCAUCAUUAGACACACAGUCAGACACACACAGAUGGCAUCACGUGACACCCACACCUUGCCUCUUACAUUGUACUUAACCAACUUCUCAGUAAGAUGAAGCCAAGCACGACCAUGGAACGGAUGUAUCAACCCAUCUGCUCCUCAUGUAAGACUAUAGAUUAGGAGAGUGUCCUCCAGUCGCUGAGAAGUGUAUGGCAGCAAACUGUCAAGAGCCAUCAGUAAACCCCGUGAUGAUUGAUCAGAUUUCCCGGCCAGAGAGAAUUCAGGAAUCCACAAAGCCUGGAGAGAGGAGCCCAGUGAGAGAUGUCAUGUGCAGGCAUGUGGCUGUGAGCUUCGUCGGUCCUCUUCAGAAGUCGCGGACACCCCAGCCCCGACAUCCGCCAAAUUAUUCGCCUUGGUGGCUGCCCAGGCCUCCGUGUGAGUUCCAUUAGGAAACAUUUGUUUUUAGCAAACAAGCGCUUGAGAAGAGGAUUUCAACUCCCUGGGUUUCUGGGUGACUUAUUCUGUGGUUUCCUUGUCCCUCUGCCUCCUGGCACCUCAGGCAUUUUGAGCUUCCAGUAGCCUGUGAGGAGGAGGACAGUCAGGGCUGGUGUCCCCUGGGCUCUGUUGGUCUGGGUUAUUCUCUGGAAAGGGAAUUCAGUUGAAAGGGAGUUUUGCAUAUCCUUUAGAUGACAGAAGGUAACACAUAGGGCCCAAAGGAGCCUCAUGCCAUGCUGGUCACUGUGAACCCCUCCUCUCCCUGUCUUUUUUUUUUUUUUUUUUUUGAGGAAGAUUAGCCCUGAGCUAACUACUGCCAAUCCUCCUCUUUUUGCUGAGGAAGACUGGCCCUAAGCUAACAUCCAUGCCCAUCUUCCUCUACUUUAUACGUGGGAUGCCUACCACAGCAUGAUCCAAACCGGCGAACCCCGGGCCGCUGAGAAGCAGAACGUGUAAACUUAACUGCUGUGCCACCAGGCCGGCCCCACCUCUCCCUGUCUUAAUCCCAGGAUGGGUCAGACAAGGGGGCACAAUGUUGAGCAUCAGAACCACAAACCAAUAGUUUAUCACAGCAGGAGGUUAAGCAUGACUCUGCCAGCAGCACCCCUGGGCAAAGCCCUGGCUGGUGCGCACAUGGGAAUAUACAAAAUGGGCAGGGACAGCUGCCAGGCAUAUACAAAGUUCAAAAGGCCAUCAGGUCGGAACCAGAUAGCUGAGCAAUCUGUUCAGCUUAACACAGACACGUGAGGACAAUGCCGUUUCCAUUUGUUGAAGGGCCAACAGGAGGAAAAACGAUCAUUAUGAGGGCCAGAUAACUCAGAGAGGACCCCCUGUGCUGGGAGAACUCAAGAGAGUGAGCCCACCACUUUAACUGGACCUUAAAGCGGGGUUUAAAAACCUAGAAGAGAAGAAGGUUUGGUGUCUAAAGGCUGUUAAAAAAAGGAGGCUUGCCCUGGGAAGAAAGGUCACACACAGUCUCUGGACUUAGUCCUCCAUCUGCCACGUUCUGGAUACGGUUUUUAGUUCAUUGGCAGGUGUAUGUUCCAGAACACCCUUGGGGACAGGAGAAACACAACCAUUUAUUGUGAAUAAUUCUAGGGUGGAUUUACUCUCGUCGUCAGAGUUGGACGUGCCUCGUUCAUCUAGGCUGGAGGGUUGUAAUGCAGAAGUCUUCACCUCCCAGCGGGAGAAUCGCUGCACGUCCCACAGCUUCUGUGGGGAGGGCAGAGAGCCUCCGAACCCUACAGGGGGCAGCUCUUCUAGGGCUGGCACAAAUGGAACUCAGCAUGGGCAGAGGGCCGUCUGGAGUGGGGAGCUCCCUAGGGAGGGAAUCAGGUGAGGGUACCAUGCAGAACACGGAAGGUCCAGGGUGGAUUGACAAACUCUGGGUCAAGAUGGAGGAAGGGUCCCAGUUGUAUAAACGUUCAAGAAAAAAUUGGGAGCAGAACAGAUUGACUGGAAAACAUGUAAGGAAAUCAUUUUGAAAAAACAGCAAAUCUGAAAAUACCAGAUGCUGGUGAGGAUGUGGGAAAAUGGAUGCUUUUAAACAUUGUAGUUGGGAAGUCCUCUUGGACCAGUAGGCAACACCUAAUAAUUCUGAAGGUGUGCACAUCCCACACCCAGCAGGGCGGCUCCCACUGAGGUCUUUGGCACAGGUGUUCGAGAAAACAAGUACAAAGAUAUUUAUUGAAGCACUGUCUGUAAUAGCAAAAAAAAAAGUGAAAACAAUCUGUCUUCAGCAAAAGGACAAAGUGAACUCUGGCUUGCUCAUCGGAAGUACUGUAUCUUGCAGUUAAAAUGAAUGAACUAGAUCUUCAUGUAUCAACAUGUAUAAUCUCAAAACCAUAUUGAGUUAAAAAAGCAGGUUGCAAAGUGGUACGCACAGUGAUUCCUUUUACAUCAAGGUUCAAAACGUAAAGAAAUAGUACUGUUCUGUUUAGAAAUGCAUUUAUAAUCUGGAGCAAACAGAAACACGUGGGGGUUAUUUUCACCAACCUCGGGAAGUGGUUACUUUGGAGGAGAAAGAGAGGGAAAAGCGAUAUAGGGCAUUAGCUAUUUCUAUAAAGCUUUAUUUCUGGGGGAAAAAACCUGAAGAAAAUAAGGCAAAAUAUUAGCAUCUGUUUAAUCUUGGUGGCAGAUACAGACGUCUACCCAUAUUACAUUUUAUACUCAUGGUUGGCUGAAUAACAGCCCCCAAAGAUGUCCCCCCAUGUCCUAAUCCCUAGAACCUAUGAACAUGCUACCUUCUGUGGUAAAAGGGACUUUGCAGGUGGGAUUAAGUUAAGGAUCCUGAAACGGGAGAUUAUCUUGAAUUAUCCCAGUGGGCUCAAUGUAAUCACAAGGGUCCUUAGAAGAUAAGGAGCCCGGAGGGUCAGAGUCAGAGAAAGAACAUGUGACAAUGGAAGUGAGGUUGGAGGGAUGAGCUUUGAAGAUGGAAGAAGGGGCCACAAGCCGAGGAAUGCAGACGGUUCCUAGAAGCUGGAAAAGGCAAGAAAACAGAUUCUCCCUUGAAGAUUCCAGAAGGAACAGCCCUACCAACACCAUGCCUUUAGACUUCUCACCUCCAGAAGCGUAAGAGAACAAAUCUAUGUGGUUUUAAGUCACUAAAUUCGUGGUAACUUGGGAUAGCAGCAAGAGGAAACUAAUACAGUACUUUGUUGGAAUGUUUCAAAAUUUAAAAUUUUUUUCCUUUUAUUUUAUGAUAUUGUUAGGAGAACAGUGGCAAGGCCUAAGUUCCGUCUCCGGUUCCUCGUCCUUCAGAGGAGGCUGUUUGGCAACGCUUCUCUCAACUAGCCCCUGUAUUGAAGAGGCCGAGCUGUGUGCCCAUCUCAGGUGGGCCCUGGGGUUCUGGAAGCCCUGGUUGUCAGAAGAUAUCCAGGCUGUUGGGGUAGGUGAGGUGCACCCCAGGAGAACCUCUGGAGCUGGUCCCUCCCUCCCUGGUAGGUCAAGCUGCCAGAAGCUCACAGAAGUCUGAGGGUGACUGCAGAAAUGACCUUGAGACACUGCACCAGGAGCUCCCCUUCCACGCUCCCGGACCCUCAUGCGCCUCCUGAAGGAGCCGCGUGGACUUCUUGGGGCCAGCCACUGGCAAGGAGCUUUGCCUGGGAGUGGAGACAACGUUGGCUCCAGAUGUUAGAUGGCUAGGCCUCCUCAAGGCCAGAGCACUUCUGCCACGGGGUUGGUGGGGGAGACAACAGCGCUGUGCUAACAGGAGCCUCCCCCCUCCCCCCCGGACUUGGGUCCAUGCCCUCCCCGGGGGACUGGGCAGGAGGGAGGCAGCUGAGACCUGAGCUGUUGCAGGUGCGAAGUACUCAGCCAAGCGAGCCCAUUUGUCAAAGAAGUUGGACUUAAAAGGAAGGAUACUGACAGGAGAGGGGAUUAAAAGGCAUGGAAGGAUCCAGAAAGAGAGAUUUUCAAGAAAAGAAACACCUGUGUAGAUGUGUGUGUGUGUGCACAUAGGCACACACAGAGGCCCCAGGGAGGGGGCUGUGGAGGGGAGAGAAGCUGGAGAGAGGCGGGUGGCUGUGGGGGAGGCUGCAGGGCCCAGAACACGGCACGGGCAGAAGAGCAGUCUCAGGCGGGACGAAAGACAGUUCUUCUCUUUCCAGAUCUGGACACUGGGUGGGAAAGACAUGGACACGGGUCUGGGAGGACACCCGCCGGCCCCACGUGGCCGCAGUAUGGGAGUGGACGACGGGAGGGUCCAGGGCCUUCACUCUGUCUGCAUCACCUGAGCUGUUUUCCAAUAACGACGUAUUCCUACACUACUUGAGAAAUUGAAAAUAAACACAUUAGGAAGCUGCCGGGUGGCAGAACCACACCACUCGUCUGUCAGUAGCCAUGCUGAGGCGGUGGCUCACACCAAAGAACUAGACGGACUCACAACUAAGAUAUACAACUGUGCACUGGGGGGCUUGGGGGGAAAAAAAAAAGAGGAAGCUUGGCAACAGAUGUUAGCUCAGGGCGAAUCCUUCCCUGCAAAAAACAAAUAAAUAAACACACUAGACCCCAUGAGCAGCACAGACAGUAGGCACUAGAGUUGUCCAGAGACGGGUCAGGCAGGUGUAGGACUCACCGAAGGGGUGGGCUGGGGUGCAAUUUGACCAGGUGAUGAGGGUACCUAGGGGGAAGAGCUGAGGGGGUGAAGGGAAGGCCUGGCAGGUCUUGAAGGUGGCAGGACCCCCAUGGCCAGAGUGAGGCCCCUGUUGGAGAGGAACUGGCAGCUGAGGAGAUGCCGACCAGCUGCUUCAGGGCCUCUGGGAAGCUUGUUUCAAAGCUCGGACUCCACCCCCACCCCCACGCCACACACACAGAUUCUGAGUCAGGAGGCCUGCCCCAGGCUCUGGAAUUCCCAUUUGUUUAAGUUUCCCCAAUGAUUCUGAUGGGUCACCAGGAUUCUGCUGGGGAUGGGGGGAUUGCCAUGUGAGCAGGGCUCCAGGCCUCACACCCCCUCCAACCAGGGCUGCUCAGCACUUAUGUUUUGCAUGGGGGCAGCCAAAAUCCUGCAUCUAUGGCUAAAAAUAAAGUGUGAACACCUCCAGGGCAGAAUGGAAGUGGCUAUGUCACUUUGAAGGAAACUGGGUUGUACUCAGCACGACCAUAGUUCUGACUGGCCACGCAACUGUUGAGACAGCGUGGGCCCCAGGGGAGAAGGGCAGGAGGAGUGGGACGAGAGUGGAAAAGAAAUGGCACGGCCAAGAGACAUUUUAGAAGAAUCAGAGGAAAUGGGGAUGCACAAAGGGUGAUGAGAAAGAUAAGCCCUCGACCCAGAGGGGGAGUUGUCACCAGAGGGUCCUGGGGCAGCCGUAUUUCAGGGAAGGUUCCGAGUUAGGGUAUGACGGGAAAUGGCAGGUGGAACCCUCGGCCAGGGUAAAUUUGCUUUCACGGCCACCUUGAGGAUGCGGCUGUCCUGCAGGAGAGAGGAUGGCUGGGGCGCCCUGGGCCACACUAGGGAGCUCCAGGAGGACAGCAGGAGGAGAGGACUCAGGGAACUCACAGGGGAACGCUCAGGUGAUGUGGCAAAUUUCCCAUAAAAGAGUAUUCUCCCGGUCACCUCUCCUUUCCGAGAGACCGUCUCCCUGGGAAGGCCUGGGACAGCCCAGCGCCAUGGUGACAGCAAGGUGGGGGAUGGGGGAGGCAGAGCCAGUGAGGCCCUGUUGCAAUCUGCUGACCCUAUCCCCCUACAAAGAACUUCUCACCACAGACAAUCUGGCCCCAGCAUCACGGCUCCAUUACCUGGAACCCGACAUCCGAGCUACUUCCCAAGGGCCUGGCUCCUGCUCCUCUGACAGCUUCUCUCCACACGAUGUCCGCCCGUCUCCUGGCCCCACUCAAUCCGAGGUCCCUACACCUCAGAGCAGAAGACAGAGCGGGAGGCCCUUUCCAUGGGUGACAGGACCCAGGAGGGGCUGAGUCAACCCUCAGACGCACCCCAGCUCAGACUAUUACUUAUCAACUGCAUUUUUUAUUAAGGUACCAAAACACAAGAUAACGUUCUGGCACAGUGUGUUCAGAAUUUAAAUAAAUAUAACAUAAGACAGGCCCAGGAGAAUUGGGUAUACAAUCAAGAAAGAGGAUGCGGCCAGCCUGGUGGUGCAGCGGUUUUGUGCACGCUUUCUGCUUAGGUGGCCCAGGGUUCGCCGGUUCGGAUCCUGGGUACGGAUGUGGCACCGCUUGUCAAGCCAUGCUGUGCAGUAAUCCCACAUAUAAAGUAGAGGAAGAUGGGCACGGAUGUUAGCUCAGGGCCAGUCUUCCUCAGCAAAAAAAGAGGAGGAUUGGCAGCACUUAGCUCAGGACUAAGCUUCCUCAAAACAAAAAAAAAGAUAGAGGAAAAAAUUAUAAAUGCAUUUUUUUCUUUCUGUUUUAGCAACAGUGCUGCCACAAGCAUUUUUGUAGCUAUACAUUUUGGACACCUUCAAGAUUCCUUCCAGAUCACUUCCAGAGGUGGAAUAGAUAGGUCAUAGGGUACUGGGAAUUUUAAGGCUUAAUUUUCCUCCAAAAAAGGCUUUUCCAGUUAUUGUGCAUUCCUAGAAGUAAUUCGCAAGAAGGCCUGUGCCCAGCAGUGGGUAUUCAUUUGCUGGUCUGUUAGGUAAUAAGGUGAAAUGUUAUCUCAAAUGGUUUUAUUUUUGCUUUGCUUUGAGUAUUAAGGAGGUUGAGGAUUUUCUUCUCUUAUUAACCAUUUGGUCAUUAUUUUGAUUAAUCUACCUGCUGACAUCCUCCAUCUCUCUCUUUGGUGCCCUAUACUUUACAAGCUCUUUGUACAUUAAGGAUAUUUGCCUCUGUUGCCA